UUUCCGUAGGUGAACCUGCGGAAGGAUCAUUGUCGAAACCUGCAACGCAGAACGACCCGUGGACCGUUCAGAACUCUACUCGAUGGGCGGGCCAUCCCGCCCGUCGCUCGUUUGCCCCCGGGUGGGGUCGCGGGGUCCCAGGCCUCGCCCCCUCGCCUUGGGCGCAGACAACAAACCACGGCGCAAGUCGCGCCAAGGAACUAGGAAAAAAGGCGUGCUCCCUCGGUCCCGGAGACGGUGCACCGGGGAUGGCGUCGUCGUUAUCCAAUUCGAAACGACUCUCGGCAACGGAUAUCUCGGCUCUCGCAUCGAUGAAGAACGUAGCGAAAUGCGAUACUUGGUGUGAAUUGCAGAAUCCCGUGAACCAUCGAGUUUUUGAACGCAAGUUGCGCCCGAAGCCGUUCGGCCGAGGGCACGCCUGCCUGGGUGUCACGAAAUAUCGCCGAAACGUCCCUCCACCCCCCCUCGAGGGGGAAGCAUCGAGGGUUGGCGGAUGUUGGCCUCCCGCGCGCACUCGCCGACGGUUGGCCUAAACGAGAGUCCCCCGACGAGGUGGCCACGACAAGCGGUGGUUGAAGGCACGUCCUCUCCUCGAACGCCGUCGUGUGCGAGCCUCGUCGGAGGGAGAAGCCGGAGGCCCCGACGCGGAGCGUCUCUCACGUAGCGACCCCAGGUCAGGCGGGAACACCCGCUGAGUUUAAG
rnacentral:rRNA from 1 species